rnacentral:rRNA from 1 species
AGCUCUAAUAGUGUAUCUUAAUGUUGUUGCAGUUAAAAAGCUCGUAGUUGAAUUUCUGACAAUCCCGCCGAUCUAAAUGAGAAGCAUGGAUAUGUCAUCCGCAUUGGAAAUACAUUUGGUAGCGAUACCAGUGUACGGAAGGUGCAUUUUACUUUGAAGAAAUUAGAGUGUUCCAGGCAGGCUAUGCUUGAAUAUUACAGCAUGGAAUAAUGGAAUAGGACAUGUCUAUUUUAUUGGUUAUUAGACUUGUAAUGAUUAACAGGGACAGUUGGGGGCAUUCGUAUUGGGUAGUCAGAGGUGAAAUUCUUAGAUUUACUCAAGACGCACUAAUGCGAAGGCAUUUGCCAAGGAUGUUUUCA